GUCGAGUAUUGUUACGAUACGUAUUCCUUUUUAGAGCAUGAACAUCAUAGAUUGAACAUACAAAUAUUACUUUGCAAUGAGCAGGAGAACAAGUUCCGAAUUAGAGAAAAAUAGAUGCAGAUAGAUACUAGAUAAAUAUAGUGCGGGUGUGUUCAAUGAAAUAUGAUUGUAAAAAUGAAGCUGGAAGAUACGAUUUUGGUACUUUUUUUUUAA
rnacentral:lncRNA from 1 species